rnacentral:rRNA from 1 species
UACAGAGGGUGCAAGCGUUGUUCUGAAUUAUUGGGCGUAAAGCGCGUGUAGGCGGCUUAGCAAGUCGGGCGUGAAAGCCCUCGGCUCAACCGAGGAAGUGCACACGAAACUGCUGAGCUUGAGUGCCGGAGAGGAUGGCGGAAUACCCCAAGUAGAGGUGAAAUUCGUAGAUAUGGGGUGGAACACCGGUGGCGAAGGCGGCCAUCUGGACGGUAACUGACGCUGAGACGCGAAAGCGUGGGUAGCAAACAGG